rnacentral:piRNA from 1 species
UUUUNGGUGCUUCUCAGCCAUUCGGUAUU